AUGGCCACCUGCCUCUCUGACAUAAUUAGUGACCAUUCCAUUGACUUCCUGGGUUUGCAAGAGACUCUGAAGAGAGAUUUUCCCGCUAAAUUGACCAGGAAAUUUGACCCCUUUGGCACUUUCCAUAGGGAAUGGGUGCCUGCUGUGGGUAGAUCUGGUGGUAUUUUGUGUGGCAUUCGCAACAACACCCUGGAGUUAUUGGGGUGCACUAGGGGCAAGUAUGUGCUGCAGAUGGAUGUCAGGAAUGUUAAGGACAAAACAGCCUGGAGUUUUCUAGUGGUUUAUGGUUCGGCUCAUGAGGAGUAUAGAGAGGAGUUCCUGAGAGAACUAGCUUUGUUCUGUCAUAAUACAAAAUUGCCCUAUAUAGUUGGAGGGGAUUUUAAUAUACUUAGGCACAACGGUGAUAAGAACAAGAAAAUGUAG
rnacentral:rRNA from 1 species